rnacentral:rRNA from 1 species
CGGUAAUUCCAGCUCCAAUAGCGUAUAUUAAAAUUGUUGCGGUUAAAAAGCUCGUAGUUGGAUAGCUGCUGAGGGGUUUCGGUACUUCCCAGUGAAGAUUACACGGAACUCUUCUUGGCAUUUGUUCAGGGAAAGUUUCUGCACUUGAUUGUGUGGGACAGGAACUGAAUUUUUACUUUGAGGAAAUGAGAGUGUUUCAAGCAGGCAUUUGCCGUGAAUAUGAUAGCAUGGAAUAAUAGCACAGGACCCCGUUCCAAGCUGUUGGUUUUUGAGACGAGGUAAUAAUAAGGAUAGUUGGGGGCAUUUGUAUUUCAAUGUCAGAGGUGAAAUUCUUGGAUUAUUGAAAGACAAACUAUUGCGAAGGCAUCUGCCAAAGAUGUUUUUAUUGAUCAAGAACGAAAGUUAGGGGAUCGAAGACGAUCAGAUACCGUCGUAGUCUUAACCUUAAACUAUGCCGAUUGGAGAUUGGACAGUGUAACUUUACGACCUGUUCAGCAUCCUAAGAGAAAUCGAAAUCUUUGGGUUCCGGGGGGAGUAUGGUCGCAAGGCUGAAACUUAAAGGAAUUGACGGAAGGGCACCACCAGGAGUGGAGCCUGCGGCUUAAUUUGACUCAACACGGGGAAACUUACCAGGUCCAGACAUAGAUAGGAUUGACAGACUGAUAGCUCUUUCUUAAUUCUAUGGGUGGUGGUGCAUGGCCGUUCUUAGUUGGUGGAGUGAUUUGUCUGGUUAAUUCCGUUAACGAACGAGACCUUAACCUGCUAAAUAGUUCGCUGAACCCCCGGGUUCUGACGUAACUUCUUAGAGGGACUUCAUGUGUUUAGCUUGAGGAAGUUUGAGGCAAUAACAGGUCUGUGAUGCCCUUAGAUGUCCUGGGCUGCACGCGCGCUACACUGAUGUGUCCAGUAAGUACUACCUGCUUCGAAAGGAGUGGGUAACCUUAGCAAAUCACAUCGUGAUGGGGAUAGAUUAUUGCAAUUAUUAGUCUUGAACGAGGAAUUCCUAGUAAGCGCAAGUCAUCAGCUUGUGUUGAUUACGUCCCUGCCCUUUGUACACACCGCCCGUCGCUCCUACCGAUUGAAUGAUCCGGUGAAUACUUCGGACUGCGUAGAUUUGCAGCAAUGCUCUUUUAUGCGGGAAGUUGAAUAAACCUUAUCAUUUAGAGGAAGGAGAAGUCGUAACAAGGUAACC